rnacentral:lncRNA from 1 species
ACCUGCCUGAUGUACUUGAAUGUGAGUUAUGUGGGAAGAGAGGCUUUGCUUGUACCUUCCUCAGGUCCAAAUGCUUCAAUGUGUCAGAAGGUAAAGUGCCCUAUGGGUAACAUUAAUAACACUUUUGUGUCUCUAUCUUUUUGUAGCUUGUAGUGUCAAUGGAAAUAUUAUUCAUACUUUUGGAAUUAUUAUUGCACAUACUUCAAGGUUCAAGGACUGUUCUAAAAUGCUCAACCAUAGUAUUGAACUUUGGUGUACCAUUUGUGCCAAAUACAUGAAUGGAAAAUGGAAAUUACAUUUCUCAGUGAAAAAAAACAAUUGUGCUGCUUAAUAUUUUUGUGAAACCAUGAUGUAUUUCUUUUAAGGAUACUUUGCUAAAUAGAAAGUUCAAAAGAACAGCAUUUAUUUGAAAUAAGUUUUGUAACAAAUUAAAAAAUAUUUACUUUCACUGUUGACCAAGUAAAUGCAUACUUGCUGAAUAAAAAUAUGAAUUUGUUAAAAAUAAAAAACUUUUGAACAGUAGUGUACAUGUACUCAUGUCUGUAAGAAUUUAAGCGUAUAAUGAUCAAAACACAUUUAAGAUAUCUGCCUUUUUGCCAGUCCAAUCUGAUGUAAACAUACUUUGUUUUUACUGAAUUCAACAAAUUUGUGUUCAUAAAAUUGUACACUACAACAUACACACCCUUGUUCAUCUUUCACACCUCACAGAUUCAAUGUAAGCUGUAAAAAGCGCCUAAACCUGUUCAGCUCAGAAAAAGUUGUCCGUUGGCCCCACAGGCACAUUAGCAAGCGGGGGAUACCACCUAGUCGCAUAAAAAGCAGGUCCAAGGAACACUUCCUCAGAAAUAACCAUUUAACCAAACUAUACAAUCCAAUGCAAUAGCAUAAUUCAUAAGUGGGAAUGACCUUCUGUAAUACAUUAUUUCCUCAGCAGCUGAAGACUCCCAUCAUACCAAUGACAACCCAUGGCUCUAAUUCAAUUUGGAUAGAGAGAGAAGAGGAGGAGGAUCCACCAGGCCCAAUGACAACAAGCCUGCGUUUGCAGGCCAAAAAGGAGAAGGAUCAAGACACAGAAGGAGAACAGAGUAGAGUGAAGAGCAGCAGCAGGAGCUUGACUCUAGUCCCUCACAGUGGAGCGUGGAGCAAGUGUGCUCCUUCAUCAGCUCUUUACCAGGUGCCAUGA